rnacentral:rRNA from 1 species
ACGUCAAAUCAUCAUGCCCCUUACGUCUAGGGCUACAGGCGUGCUACAAUGGCUGGUACAAAAAGAUGCAAUAUAGUGAUAUGGAGCAAAUCUCAAAAACCAGUCUCAGUUCGGAUUGGAGUCUGCAACUCGACUCCAUGAAGUUGGAAUCGCUAGUAAUCGCAGGUCAGCAUACUGCGGUGAAUACGUUCCCGGGUCUU